CCUACGGGAGGCAGCAGUGAGGAAUAUUGGUCAAUGGACGAGAGUCUGAACCAGCCAAGUAGCGUGAAGGAUGACUGCCCUAUGGGUUGUAAACUUCUUUUAUAAAGGAGUAAAACGAUGCACGUGUGCCUUUUGGCAGGUACUUUAUGAAUAAAGAACGGCUAAAUCCGGUACAGGCACCGCGGGUAUAAGGAGGAGCGGGGCGUUAAUCGGGUUUAAUGGGGUUAAAAGGAUCGUAGAGGGGUUGUUAAGUCCGUUGUGAAAGUUUGGGGCUCAACCGUAAAAUUGCAAUUGAUACUGGCAGUCUUGAGUACAGUAGAGGUAGGCGGAAUGCGUGGUGUAGCGGUGAAAUGCUUAGAUAUCACGAAGAACCCCGAUUGCGAAGGCAGCUUACUAAACUCUGACUGACACUGAUGCGCGAAAGUGUGGGUAUCAAACAGGAUUAGAUACCCCUGUAGUC
rnacentral:rRNA from 1 species